rnacentral:rRNA from 1 species
AUAAAGAGUCUUGCCUGCCCGGUGAUAGUUUUAACGGCCGCGGAAUUUUAACCGUGCAAAGGUAGCAUAAUAAUUUGCCCUAUAAUUGAGGGCUAGAAUGAAUGGUUUGACAAGAAUAUAGCUGUCUCUAUAUAAUUUCAUAAAAUUUGAUUUUUAGGUGAAGAAGCCUAAAUAAAAAAGAAAGACGAGAAGACCCUGUCGAGCUUUAAAUCCUUAUAUAAACGAUAAAAAUUAAAUAUUUAUAUAUUAAUGGAUUAUAUAUUAUUUUAGUUGGGGCGACUAAGGAACACCAGAAGCUUCCUGUAAUACUUAAUAAUCUACAAAUAAUGACCCAAACAUAGUUUUGAUUAGAAGAAUUAGUUACCGCAGGGAUAACAGCAUUAUCUUUUUUAAGAGUUCAUAUCGAAAAAAAGGAUUGUGACCUCGAUGUUGGAUCAAAAUAUCCUAAAGGUGCAGUAGCCUUUAAUAGUUGGUCUGUUCGACCAUUAAUAUUUUA